GCUUUCAGCCAUGGAAUCUUGUUACUCCUUUACACCACAAGAUUACAGAUCCAUCUGCCAGCAGAAAUCCCUUUCAUAAUGGUUUGCACGCUCUGGCUCCUACAUUAUCAACCACCCAGAUUGGUAAACCUUACAAGAUUCUGCAAUAAUUACUCGAUGGUGACUUCACACAGAGAAACGGUCUGGAACUUGCUCUGAAAUUUAAUUCUGUGGCCCACCAAAAAUUUUAUCACAUUUGUAUUUUUUAAUUCAACCAUCUUACACUUCUGGUGCUUCCUCAUUUAUUCUGCAUUACCCACGAGAAAAUCAGGACUGAUGACAUUGAACUCUGACUUCCAUAUGAGCCGAGACUUUCCUUCGGGUCAGACUUUUCAAGAUCACCCCUGGCUCUUACAUCCAUGUGAUCUGAAGUUCAUUGAAAAUGCACUUCGAUUUUUUUACCACAUCUUUCCAAAAGGAAGUUAUUUUGUAAAGAAAACCUACAUCUGUCUGACAUGAUUUGCCUUUCAAAAACCUCU